CCUACGGGAGGCAGCAGUAGGGAAUCUUCCACAAUGGACGAAAGUCUGAUGGAGCAACGCCGCGUGAGUGAUGAAGGUUUUCGGAUCGUAAAACUCUGUUGUAAGGGAAGAACAAGUACGAGAGGGAAUGCUCGUACCUUGACGGUACCUUGCGAGAAAGCCACGGCUAACUACGUGCCAGCAGCCGCGGUAAUACGUAGGUCGGCAAGCGUUGUCCGGAAUUAUUGGGCGUAAAGCGCGCGCAGGCGGCCUUUUAAGUCUGAUGUGAAAGCCCCCGGCUCAACCGGGGAGGGUCAUUGGAAACUGGAAGGCUUGAGUACAGAAGAGAAGAGUGGAAUUCCAUGUGUAGCGGUGAAAUGCGUAGAGAUGUGGAGGAACACCAGUGGCGAAGGCGACUCUUUGGUCUGUAACUGACGCUGAGGCGCGAAAGCGUGGGGAGCAAACAGGAUUAGAUACCCUGGUAGUCCACGCCGUAAACGAUGAGUGCUAGGUGUUGGGGGGUUUCCGCCCCUCAGCGCUGAAGCUAACGCAUUAAGCACUCCGCCUGGGGAGUACGGCCGCAAGGCUGAAACUCAAAGGAAUUGACGG
rnacentral:rRNA from 1 species